UGCCAGCCGCCGCGGUAAUACGGAGGGGGCGAGCGUUAUUCGGAAUCAUUGGGCGUAAAGGGCGCGUAGGCGGCUUGACAAGUCAGUGGUGAAAUCCCUCGGCUCAACCGAGGAACUGCCUCUGAAACUGUCUCGCUUGAGGCCGGGAGAGGGUGGUGGAAUUCCCAGUGUAGCGGUGAAAUGCGUAGAGAUCUGAAGGAACAUCAGUGGCGAAGGCGACCUCCUGGACUGAUAUUGACGCUGAGGUGCGAAAGCGUGGGGAGCAAACAGGAUUAGAUA
rnacentral:rRNA from 1 species